GAUGAACGCUGGCGGCGUGCCUAAUACAUGCAAGUCGAGCGAACAGACGAUGAGCUUGCUCCUCUGACGUUAGCGGCGGACGGGUGAGUAACACGUGGAUAACCUACCUAUAAUACUGGGAUAACUUCGGGAAACCGGAGCUAAUACCGGAGAAUAUAUUGAACCGCAUGGUUCAAUAGUGAAAGACGGUUUUGCUGUCACUUAUAGCUGGAUCCGCGCCGCAUUAGCUAGUUGGUAAGGUAACGGCUUACCAAGGCGACGAUGCGUAGCCGACCUGAGAGGGUGAUCGGCCACACUGGAACUGAGACACGGUCCAGACUCCUACGGGAGGCAGCAGUAGGGAAUCUUCCGCAAUGGGCGCAAGCCUGACGGAGCAACGCCGCGUGAGUGAUGAAGGUCUUCGGAUCGUAAAGCUCUGUUAUUGGGGAAGAACAAAUGUGUAAGUAAAUACGCACGUCUUGACGGUACCUAAUCAGAAAGCCACGGCUAACUACGUG
rnacentral:rRNA from 1 species